rnacentral:lncRNA from 1 species
UCCCACCGCCGCGCCUCUUCCCACCUGAACUGAGCGGCUAUCGCCGCCGUCAGCUGCUUCUAGUCCGCCGCAAUUGCCUCUCACUCCCUCUACUCCGGUGAGUAAUUUUUCAAGCAUUUUUAGUUUCAUUUUAAUAUAGUAAUUUACUAGUAAUUUUUUUCUGCAGCUGCCACUCACCUGAACUUGUUGAAUGUUGGUUGCUUCAUUUUAUUUAUUUUAAAUUUAAAAUUUAAGUUUUGUUCAUAAAUUUUGGGCUUGCUGCAUUGUUGUAUUUCUGUUCUUCAAUAUUGAUUGUAGUCUCUGGCGCGGUCGUGUUGGUAUUGUGGGGCCAUUGUUGAGGAAUUGCAGGUGUGGCGUGGAGGUUUGUUGAAUGAGGAGAAGAGAGGGAGGAGUUUAUGUAUAUAGGGAAGAACCGAAGAAAUAUGGGGGUUUGGGGGUUUGUUGAACUUCCAAUUUUCCUUCUUAAUCCAAAUACAAAAACACAUUUCUUUAUGCCUCAAAACUUGGACUCGAUUGAUUUCGCCACAUAAUCAAUCUUCACAUUACAAGAAAUUUAAAUAAAUAAAAAUUGGUGCACUAAUUUCAAUAGAAUAUAGGGAUCUUGACACAUAUACUGAAAUGAAGUGUUAAUAUGUUGCAAAAGUCGAAGUCAUAUCCUCACUUACAUCAUUCUGCAAGAUUUCAUAUUGUAUUUAUGAAAGAUUGUCAAUGUUUAGGAAAUUUGAAAACUUACCAGAUUCAAUAGCAAAUCUCUUAUGUAAUCAAUAUGGAUACCAUAAAGCUAUGUCAUGGAUUUCUUUAGUGGAGCUUCUGCGUGUCUGCAUAUGUAUAUAAAAUUUAGAUCACAUGAGAAGAUUCUUUAGAUUCAAUGUUUUUAUGCUUUUUCCAAUGUGUUGAUAUAGGUGUUAAAGAUGGAGGACUCAUCUCCAAGUGUUGAUAUGGAGAGUGGUGAAGAAGAUGUCAAAAUUCUUGAAGAUGGAAAGCCUAAGAAUAUCUUAUAUUUUUGUAUUUCAUGCUUUGUUAUAUAAUUUAUAUCUAUGUAUAUUUUGUACAUUAUAUAUUAGAUCAUUAAGAAUAAUAAAAUACAAAUGAUAAUUUUAUUUUUACACCUUUAAAACCUCC